GUACAUGCAAGGCCAAAGGCCCCUUCGGCCGCGGCUGCGUGCCGUGAUGAACAGGUCAACUACCUUGGGAGCUCCUCACUGGUGAUUGAUGGACAACUAGAUCCCGCCACCCUUGAAGCAAUUGCGUGCAGGGAAGCAAUGGCCCUUGCGGAAGAUUUGCUAGUUCAAAACUUCGUAAUCUCUUCGGACUGCAAACAGGUUGUGGAAGAUAUACGAAAAGGAAAUCAAGGUCCUUAUGGAUCCAUCGUUACAAAGAUAAAACUUCGAGCUACUAGUUUUAGAUGUAGUUUUAUUUUUGAAGGGUGA
rnacentral:rRNA from 1 species